rnacentral:rRNA from 1 species
UGGGGAAUAUUGCACAAUGGGCGCAAGCCUGAUGCAGCCAUGCCGCGUGUGUGAAGAAGGCCUUCGGGUUGUAAAGCACUUUCAGCGAGGAGGAAGGUGGUGAACUUAAUACGUUCAUCAAUUGACGUUACUCGCAGAAGAAGCACCGGCUAACUCCGUGCCAGCAGCCGCGGUAAUACGGAGGGUGCAAGCGCUAAUCGGAAUUACUGGGCGUAAAGCGCACGCAGGCGGUUUGUUAAGUCAGAUGCGAAAUCCCCGGGCUCAACCUGGGAACUGCAUUUGAAACUGGCAAGCUAGAGUCUCGUAGAGGGGGGUAGAAUUCCAGGUGUAGCGGUGAAAUGCGUAGAGAUCUGGAGGAAUACCGGUGGCGAAGGCGGCCCCCUGGACGAAGACUGACGCUCAGGUGCGAAAGCGUGGGGAGCAAACAGGAUUAGAUACCCUGGUAGUCCACGCUGUAAACGAUGUCGAUUUUGGAGGUUGUGCCCUUGAGGCGUGGCUUCCGGAGCUAACGCGUUAAAUCGACCGCCUGGGGAGUACGGCCGCAAGGUUAAAACUUAAAUGAAUUGACGGGGUC